rnacentral:rRNA from 1 species
CGUAGGGGGCAAGCGUUGUCCGGAUUUAUUGGGCGUAAAGAGCGUGUAGGCGGUUAUACAGGUCCGCUGUGAAAACUGGAGGCUUAACCUCCAGACGUCGGUGGAAACCGUAUAACUAGAGUCCGGAAGAGGAGAGUGGAAUUCCUGGUGUAGCGGUGAAAUGCGCAGAUAUCAGGAAGAACACCCGUGGCGAAGGCGGCUCUCUGGGACGGUACUGACGCUGAGACGCGAAAGCGUGGGGAGCGAACAGGAUUAGAUACCCUGGUAGUCCACGCCGUAAACGAUGAGUGCUAGGUGUGGGGGGUGUCGACUCCCUCCGUGCCGCAGCUAACGCAUUAAGCACUCCGCCUGGGGAGUACGGCCGCAAGGCUAA